UACGUAGGGGGCAAGCGUUGUCCGGAAUCAUUGGGCGUAAAGCGCGUGUAGGCGGCUUCGUAAGUCCGUUGUGAAAGUCCAGGGCUCAACCCUGGAAAGCCGGUGGAUACUGUCGGGCUAGAGUCCGGAAGAGGCGAGUGGAAUUCCUGGUGUAGCGGUGGAAUGCGCAGAUAUCAGGAGGAACACCGAUAGCGAAGGCAGCUCGCUGGGACGGUACUGACGCUGAGGUGCGAAAGCGUGGGGAGCGAACAGG
rnacentral:rRNA from 1 species